rnacentral:rRNA from 1 species
GAGUUUGAUCCUGGCUCAGAUUGAACGCUGGCGGCAUGCCUUACACAUGCAAGUCGGACGGCAGCACGGGUGCUUGCACCUGGUGGCGAGUGGCGAACGGGUGAGUAAAGCAUCGGAACGUACCCGGAAGUGGGGGAUAACGUAGCGAAAGUUACGCUAAUACCGCAUAUUCUGUGAGCAGGAAAGCGGGGGCUCGCAAGACCUCGCGCUUCUGGAGCGGCCGAUGUCGGAUUAGCUAGUUGGUGGGGUAAUGGCCUACCAAGGCGACGAUCUGUAGCGGGUCUGAGAGGAUGAUCCGCCACACUGGGACUGAGACACGGCCCAGACUCCUACGGGAGGCAGCAGUGGGGAAUUUUGGACAAUGGGCGCAAGCCUGAUCCAGCCAUGCCGCGUGAGUGAAGAAGGCCUUCGGGUUGUAAAGCUCUUUUGUUGGGAAAGAAAAGGUUUGGGUUAAUACCCUGAAUCGAUGACGUACCCAAAGAAUAAGCACCG